rnacentral:rRNA from 1 species
CCUACGGUGGGCAGCAGUGGGGGAUAUUGCACAAUGGGGGAAACCCUGAUGCAGCGACGCCGCGUGGGCGAAGAAGUAUUUCGGUAUGUAAAGCCCUAUCAGCAGGGAAGAAGAAAUGACGGUACCUGAGUAAGAAGCACCGGCUAAAUACGUGCCAGCAGCCGCGGUAAUACGUAUGGUGCAAGCGUUAUCCGGAUUUACUGGGUGUAAAGGGAGCGCAGGCGGCAGGGCAAGCCUGAUGGGAAAGCCCGCGGCCGAACCGCGGGACUGCAGUGGGAACUACCGGGCUGGAGUGCCGGAGAGGGAGGCGGAAUUCGUGGGGGAGCGGUGAAAUGCUUAGAUAUUACGAAGAAGAC